CCACCAUAUUUCCCGUGCUGGGAUCCUCUGCGAACAGUGAAGUCGUCAUUGCCGACUGUAUUGUACCUUGAAAAGUGAAACUCAAGAGACAUGAGUGACAUAAGAUUUUCGUCGCAUUCUGUCAAGCAAUUAUCGAUUCGUAAGCGAAACUCCCGAUCAAGAAUACAUCUGUGACGCAUGUAUAAUUAAUCAGGACUACACCCACUUCCAUUCCAUGGCGGGAACAUUACUUCAUGUUUCAUACAUGCACAUUACCGAAUCUUCGUCCACAAACACUACAGGGAACAGUAGGCGGUGCAUUACGUCCA